rnacentral:lncRNA from 1 species
GGCCUGAUCAUUCUUUGGCUAGAAUCACUGAGUAAAUUCAUGUUAAUGGUUGGACCUAACUGAGACUUUCAGUGGAGGUCCAUCAUAUUGGGAAAUGUAUCCUAAAGCCAAUCAUCUAAGUAGUAGAUGAUUGGAAUUAGUAUAUGAAUUAUCUAAUAAUAAUAGUUAUUUGGUAGGUUCAUCAUAAAAGUUUUAUCUUCC